UUACUUAUCAUGUGAAGAUUUUGCAGCGGCGCUGAAAAACAUUGUAGGGGAAACACUGGCAGAGAUAGUGUCAACUUGACUCUCCCCUGUGAAGGCCUCAUCAACAUUGGCACUGAUCCUCAACAAACCCGGAGAGAGCCAGACGGAAGACUUUAAUUUUGGAGAGGAUAUGUGACGUCAUAAGGUUGCGCCGCGCUCCCGCAUUAUGUUGUGAUUCGGCAGAAGAAAGAAUGAUUCACUGUAUCGACUCGAUCGAAUCACCUCAAACACGGACGACUCCUGCAGGUCAAACAGUUUAAACAACGAGAACAACAAACACAAACAAGAUGAAGUGUUCAUAAACUGAGGAAAAACUCCUGGUGAAGCGACUGAGAGCCACGUGAUGCUAUUAUAAAGAUGGCAUUUAUUAAAGAGGAGAGCAAAGACAUAAAGAUGGCAUUUAUUAAAGAGGAGAGUGAAGACUUCAAGAUUGAAGAAACAUUCAGUCUGAAACAAGAAGACACUGAGGAAUACAC